rnacentral:lncRNA from 1 species
ACCCACAAGGCAUUGGAAGCAAAGAAUUUCCGAGCUGCAAUAGAAUAUGGGAAGCAAGAUUUUGAAGUUGAGGACGUAAGACUUGAUUUCAAGAAGCACAUGUCAAUGAGUUAUAAGAUAAAUAGUGCUCUCCAGAGGUGUGUUUCUUUAAGCCUCUGCAGGUUUUAAUUUAAAUUCAGCUCCUGUAGUUUUGCAUUUUAAGAUUCUCCCAAUAGAGAAGGGAAUUAAGCAAAUGAGAGAGCCUCAAACAAAAGGAAGCACAGAAGAUGGUAAAUUGCCAAAUGCAAUCAAGGCUGGUGAAGGUGUGACUGCAGCUCUUGACCCACAUUGUUGCCAUGGAAACCAAAGCUCGGUGGUCCUGGAGUGCUUUCCCUUUAAAAGGACAGAUUGGCUUUAGAGAAUAGUU